GUGAAGUCAGAUUAUUAAGAGAAAGGAACAGAUGAUUUCAGAAACCUUCACAUCAGCAGAUAAAGUCUAAUAUUAAAAAUUUAAAUAUGAACCUUUAGAAAAACAAUGAGACCAAUUUAUUAAAAUGGUGUCAAACCAAAUUAAAAUAAACAAUUGUACUUCUAAAAAAUAUAAAUACUUACAAAAUGUUAACACUUAAAUGACUGAAUCAUUGAUAUUUUAGGUCUAAAUGAUACUGUAUUUAUGAGUCUUUGUGGAAUUAAACUCCAGAUAUUUUUGUUAAAUUAUUUUGUUUAUUAUUUUAUGUAGGCCUAAUUUAUUUUAUGUUUGUGUCUUUAGGUUUAUGGAUACAUUUAUCAGUGGAUCAAUCAGCGGAGCCACGUUCUCCUCCAUAAACUGAACUCAUCAGUUCUUCAUCAUCAAAUCAUAAACUGGUAGAAUCAGGGCUGGGAUCUAGUUGGAGAUGCUCUGGUCUAAAAUCAUCUGGCCAAAGGACUAUAGUUGAAAAUUAGCCGGCUGGCUAACACUGGCACAUUUACAGAAAUGUUGAUUAAUGUGUGUUGUCCUUUAUAAAAUAAAGAAAGAAAAAAGAAUUGAUGGAAUACAAAGAAAACUAGUUUGAAAAAUGAGUUGAAAUCUCUGGUUGGAUUAGAUUACCGGGGGCAACGCUGCAAAUCAGUCAGCAACAUCAGUCAGCAACACCAGUCAGCAACAUCAGUCAGCAACAUCAGUCAGCAACAUCAGUCAGUCAGCAACAUCAGUCAGCAACAUCAGUCAGUCAGCAACAUCCAGAAACAUGCUGCGCAGAUUAGACCCCAGAAAUGUCCCGAAGGUGUAAAUGUUCUCUGUCUGUGUUCCUCCUGGUGAUAAACUGGACUAAACACACACACAAACACACACACAAAAUAUAAAUAUGUGUUAAAUAAAUAUAAAUAUUUUCCAGUUGUGUAAAUAGUUAGUUUGUAUAUUUCCUUAAAACUGAAGAUCUUGUUUUGAUUCCAACAAAGUAAAAAUAAUUUAUGUCUUUCAGGUUUUUCUUAAUUAAUCAUUAGUGUGUUGUUGUUUUUUUAUUUCAUAAUAUCUAUCUUUUGAUCUGUUUUGAAACAUUUUAAUUUUAGCUGAGAUUAUAAAAGGGUUGUGGGAUGUUUUCAGCUUCUCAGCUCACUGAAAUGUUCUUGUAAAUAUCUUGUGCUAGUAUUUUGGGACGAGGGACGUUUUCUCUCUUAGUUUUGUAAACCGAAAAGCGAUGAAUGUUGAAUGAAGUUGCCUUGCUAUUUUUUCAUUUUCUAUUGGUGUUUUGCUUUUUAAUAAAGUGCCCAAUACUCCAAAUGUCUGUCUUUUUGUGAUUUCACAUAAACCUCUGUGACUCUAGCUAUAAUUAUAUGAAUAUUGCCUGAGUAUCCACUAGUGUCACAGAGACUAAAUUAAUGUUUGUCUGACCUAAACUAGAGAGCCAGAAGAAC
rnacentral:lncRNA from 1 species